GGUUUUAUAUUCAAUGAUGAUUUUAAAUUGCAAAUUUAAAGGUGAUAAUAUAUCUUAAACCU
rnacentral:tRNA from 1 species